CCUACGGGCGGCUGCAGUGGGGAAUAUUGGACAAUGGGGGGAACCCUGAUCCAGCGAUGCCGCGUGUGUGAAGUAGGCCCUCGGGUUGUAAAGCACUUUCAGUGAGGAAGAACGCCUGGUGGUUAAUACCCAUCAGGAAAGACAUCACUCACAGAAGAAGCACCGGCUAACUCCGUGCCAGCAGCCGCGGGUAAUACGGAGGGUGCGAGCGUUAAUCGGAAUUACUGGGCGUAAAGCGCGCGUAGGUGGCUUGAUAAGCCGGUUGUGAAAGCCCCGGGCUCAACCUGGGAACGGCAUCCGGAACUGUCAAGCUAGAGUGUAGGAGAGGAAGGUAGAAUUCCCGGUGUAGCGGUGAAAUGCGUAGAGAUCGGGAGGAAUACCAGUGGCGAAGGCGGCCUUCUGGACUGACACUGACACUGAGGUGCGAAAGCGUGGGUAGCAAACAGGAUUAGAUACCCGGGUAGUC
rnacentral:rRNA from 1 species